rnacentral:pre_miRNA from 1 species
CGCCAGUAUCGGGUGGGUGAUGGAUGAACUUUAGGCAGUCUCCCACCCGGUAGUGGUGCU